CUUUUCGAGGUAGGAGUCGACUCCUGUGAGGUAUGGUGCUGGGUGCAGAUGCAGUGUGGCUCUGGAUAGCACCUUAUGGACAGUUGUGUCCCCAAGGAAGGAUGAGAAUAGCUACUGAAUUGUUUCUUCCCAGGUCCUAAAGAGCAAGCCUAACUCAAGCCAUUGGCACACAGGCAUUAGACAGAAAGCUGGAAGUUGAAAUGGUGGAGUCCAACUUGCCUGGACCAGCUUAAUGGUUCUGCUCCUGGUAACGUUUUUAUCCAUGGAUGACUUGCUUGGGUAUGGAGAGUCGGCUUGACUACACUGUGUGGAGCAAGUUUUAAAGAAGCAAAGGACUCAGAAUUCAUGAUUGAAGAAAUGCAGGGUUUUUAAUGACCACAACAAGCAAGCAUGCAGCUUACUGCUUGAAAGGGUCUUGCCUCACCCAAGCUAGAGUGCAGUGGCCUUUGAAGCUUACUACAGCCUCAAACUUCUGGGCUCAAGUGAUCCUCAGCCUCCCAGUGGUCUUUGUAGACUGCCUGAUGGAGUCUCAUGGCACAAGAAGAUUAAAACAGUGUCUCCAAUUUUAAUAAAUUUUUGCAAUCCA
rnacentral:lncRNA from 1 species